rnacentral:sRNA from 1 species
CCUCAACCUCAACCUCGUCCGCGUCCUCGGAUCUUCGGGUUCGGCGGUCCAGGGGCCAAUUGAUGGCGACCGCUUUGCACUGGGCAGCCAAGCACGGAAACGAAGAUGUGGUUAAGCUAAUUGCCGGCACCUACAAGGCGGAUGUGAACGCCAGAACGAACGGGGGAUACACGCCUCUACAUUUGGCCACCCA